AAUGGCAGGUCAGCAUACUGCCGUGAAUACGUUCCCGGGCCUUGUACACACCGCCCGUCACACCAUGAGAGUUGGAGAUACCCGAAGCCUAUGAGCUAACUUUUAGAGGCAGUAGUCGAAGGUAGAAUCAAUGAUUGGGGUGAAGUCGUAACAAGGUAAC
rnacentral:rRNA from 1 species